rnacentral:rRNA from 1 species
UGGGGAAUUUUCCGCAAUGGGCGCAAGCCUGACGGAGCAAUACCGCGUGAGGGACGAAGGCUCUUGGGUCGUAAACCUCUUUUGUUUGGGAAGAAAAACCUGACGGUACCAAACGAAUAAGCAUCGGCUAACUCCGUGCCAGCAGCCGCGGUAAGACGGAGGAUGCAAGCGUUAUCCGGAAUUAUUGGGCGUAAAGCGUCCGCAGGUGGCCAUUCAAGUCUGUUGUCAAAGAGCAAGGCUCAACCUUGUAAAGGCAAUGGAAACUGAAUAGCUAGAGUGCGGUAGGGGUAGAGGGAAUUCCCGGUGUAGCGGUGAAACGCGUAGAUAUCGGGAAGAACACCAGUGGCGAAAGCGCUCUACUGGGCCUGCACUGACACUGAGGGACGAAAGCUAGGGGAGCGAAAGGGAUUAGAUACCCCUGUAGUC